rnacentral:misc_RNA from 1 species
UUGAUUAACUGUUGCCUUCUGUGCUGGCUCCUGCAAGUGCACGUUGGUGACUUUCAUUCCAAUACCCUUGUGAACCUUUGGCCUCUUGCUCGCUUCAGCUGGCAGAGGAUUCUACAUACAAACUCGAAUGUAAUGAAACUCUUGUUGUGCACAAGCACUACUAUA